rnacentral:rRNA from 1 species
AUUGAACGCUGGCGGCAGGCCUAACACAUGCAAGUCGAGCGGAUGAAGGGAGCUUGCUUCUGGAUUCAGCGGCGGACGGGUGAGUAAUGCCUAGGAAUCUGCCUGGUAGUGGGGGAUAACGUCCGGAAACGGGCGCUAAUACCGCAUAAGUCCUGAGGGAGAAAGUGGGGGAUCUUCGGACCUCACGCUAUCAGAUGAGCCUAGGUCGGAUUAGCUAGUUGGUGGGGUAAAGGCCUACCAAGGCGACGAUCCGUAACUGGUCUGAGAGGAUGAUCAGUCACACUGGAACUGAGACACGGUCCAGACUCCUACGGGAGGCAGCAGUGGGGAAUAUUGGACAAUGGGCGAAAGCCUGAUCCAGCCAUGCCGCGUGUGUGAAGAAGGUCUUCGGAUUGUAAAGCACUUUAAGUUGGGAGGAAGGGCAGUAAGUUAAUACCUUGCUGUUUUGACGUUACCAACAGAAUAAGCACCGGCUAACUUCGUG